rnacentral:tRNA from 1 species
UGCCGAAGGCCGGAAUCGAACCGGCACGGGCUAUUCGCCCACUGGUUUUUGAGACCAGCGCGUCUACCAGUUCCGCCACUUCGGC